CCGCUCACAUCCGGGAUUCUGUUCAGCUUCCAAAAACAUGGCGACUGCUGAAGGAGGAGGAAAAGACGAGGUGAAAACACAAUUCACCACUCGAGAGGGGACUUAUAAACUCAUGACCUUGUCUGAGUAUUCCAGACCUACCAGGCAACCGUACAGUGUCCAGUGCUGCCAUCCCGUAAAAGUGUCAUUUACCAGUAUCAAUGAGACUGGGGUGUGUAAUGACAAGAUAUGUUUCAACGUUGGUCGAGAGCUUUACUUUUAUCCAUACAAGGGAGUGCGGAAGGCAGCUGAUUUGACCAAGCCAUUAGAUAAGAGGACAUACAAGGGAGGGACACUACCAACAUGUCAUGAUUUCAACCAGCUCACUGCCAAUGCUAAGGGUGUAUCUGUUAUUGUAGGCUUCUCAGCUGGCCAAGUUCAACUUAUUGAUCCCAUCAGAAAAGAUAUUAGCAGGAUAUACAAUGAAGAGAGAAUGAUCGACAAAAGCAAAGUAAUGUGCCUAAAGUGGGUUCCUGGAACCGAGCACAUGUUCAUUGCAUCACAUCAGAGUGGAUUUAUGUAUGUAUACAAUGAGACUGUAGUACCAGUGAACACACCUCCUCACUACCAGCUUGUAAAGCAGGGAGAAGGAUAUGCUGUCUUCACAUGUAAGAGUAAAAUGCCAAGGAACCCCGUCUACAGAUGGGCAGUUGGUGAGGGUUCUGCCAAUGAGUUUGCCUUUUCUCCAGAUGCUAAUUAUUUAGCAUGUGUUUCACAGGAUGGUUUCCUCCGAGUGUUCAACUAUGACACAAUGGAACUCCAUGGGAUGAUGAAGAGUUACUUUGGUGGUUUGAUAUGUGUUUGUUGGAGUCCUGAUGGAAAGUACAUUGUAGUAGGUGGAGAGGAUGAUCUUGUUACUGUAUGGUCAUUCUUUGAACAAAGGGUCAUAGCGAGGGGUAGGGGUCAUAGUUCUUGGGUCAGUGUAGUGACCUUUGAUCACUAUACGACAGGGAUGAUGAAUGUGGAUGGCACAGACUUUGGUAGCGAUGAUGACUUUGGUUCUCAGAAUAAUGACAUGAGUAAUAACAGGGAACGUUCAUUCAGCAACUACUCAAGAAACUCUAUACGCAGUACAAGUGACCUCCCUCCACCACACCUAUACAGGUUUGGCUCUAUCGGUCAAGAUACUCAGUUGUGCCUAUGGGAACUUACAGAGGACAUGAUCCAACAGUUCCAACCCCCUGCAAGAACUCGCACCAACACUCAGCUGUCUGCAUCCCAUUGCAAUAACAUCUCACACAAAAGCAAUGCCAGCUCUAACCAUCCUGAUGGAACCCACUCAAAGUUCUCUACUCUUUCGUUGUCAGACAAACACAAGGAGAAGAACAAGAAGGACAGUGUAUCAAGUAAGAGUAGCGUGCAUUCACAUUUGAAUAAGAUGCACCUGAGGAUCUUUGAGGAAGCAUCAAAAGCUAUUGGUACUCAGCUAUGUCCAAGGUUGGAUGAAGUUCUCACAUUAGAACCAAUUGUGGCUAAAAAGGUUGCACAUGAGAGACUCACUUCAUUGCUCUUCAGAGAAGACUGUCUUGUAACAGCGUGUCAAGAAGGGUUUGUCAGUACAUGGGCUAGGCCAGGGAAAGUGGGUCUGAGUGGUACUUCAAGAGAGUUAUUGUCACGGUGAAUGUUUCGUCAUUGUCAGUCAGUCAGUCAUUGCCUGAGCCUAGUUCAAACCAGGAAUGACUCAGCAAGUAACAAUGGGAGGCACAGUGGUAUGAAAUUAGCACCUUGGUUCAAAGCUUUGUCAGACCUGCAUCCACUGCUCUUAUUCUUCUAUUACUGUACUACUUAUGUGUAAGGCAAUAUCUGUGAUCAUGUACAUUUAAAUUAAUGUGUGUUCAUCCUGGGCGAAUAAUCUAUUAUUCACUUGCUGUCCUUAUUGCCACUGCAGAUUGUUGAACAAAUAUAUUAAAGUCAUAUUUGACUUUGACCUAUGCUAUUUCAUCGAGUGAAAAAGUCCCCCUUAAUUGUUUUUAAUUUUAUAAUAAGAAUGAUAACCCAUAAAAUGAGUUGCUAAAUGUUGUCAUAGCAUGUGUUUGUGUUUUCUAUCAGGUAAAAAUCAGGCUUUUCUUAUCCUAAUAUGAUUUGUAUCCUAUGUAAUUAUUGCUGAUUUUAAGCACAAGCAGGUGUAUUCACAAUUGGCAUUUCUCAGAAAGGGACGGUUUGUCGGUAAUCAUAAAUGGAUAAUCAAUUCUAAACUUGUCAUUAUAAAUGCAUUUUUGAUUUGAUCAAUAUUGCAACACAAAGACAAAAUCUCAUUAAAAAACAUGAGCAUGAACUUGACCUCUACUCCUAACAUAAACAACAACAAUUGAAAGUAUUUACCUAGUAUCUGAAAUGAGCUAUGAUUAUGAAAUAAGAUUCUAGUAUUUUUAGUUGUAAAUAUGUGGAACAUGGAAUGCAGGAGACCGCCAUCAUUUAGCAUGAGCCUGAAACAACAAAGUAUCAACAGUACUACAUGGAAUGGAACUGCGCUUAUGCAAGCACACACUACAUGCUUAUACAUCCUUCUAGCUGAGGCAGGUUACCAAUAGGCAAAGUCAUGUCUUCCCUGUAGAAAUCAUGCAGGCUUCUUUCAUUUCUAAUCCUCCCAAUCAUUAUUAAUAGUCAGUACAAUGUGGAAAGCUACAGUGAAAGGCUUUAAAAUUCUAAGACACUAUUUGUUUCCCUGCUUGUUUUGUUUUAUGAAUAUGAGGAUGAACAGAUAUAUAUGCUUGCUAGAUUUCUUCACAAAAAAUUGUGGCUUUGACUUUUGAUGCGUAAUAGCCAUCCCUAGUGAGUUCUACAGAUAAAUCAAAUCUCAGAAAAAUUUGUAUGUUUUGCAAAAACAUGGUAUGGCUGCAUUGUCAACAUUAAAGAAGAUAAAUAACUUUAUCUGUGGGUGAUUAUUAUGAUUUUAUUGGUUCUUAUGUAAUGAAACUUAAACAUAAAAGUUGCCAAAUAUCAUGUGUAAUGUGAAAAGAUUUUAGGCCUUAACUUUAAAGAUAUCAUUAUAGGUCAACUAUUACUGUUGUAAAUAUCCAAUCAAUGAGUAAAAUUUUCCCAUUAUAUUUUAGAUAUGGGAUUUCUCGAAUUUAAGAACUUCCUGAUUCAUGAUUUUUUUUACAUUUAUUGUAAGAAGUUAAAAAAUACAAAAUUUACCAGUAAUUUCCAAAGGUUUUUUUCUUUUUCUAUGAAGCUUGUACAUGUACAUAAGGAUUUACUAAUAUUAUAUAUCAUGUCCCAGAAUUUCAAGUCAAUUUUGAAAUAGAGACAAUGCGAUGGAUCUUUUACCCCAAUUUUCAUAGUAUUUGUAAAACAUAGUUAAAUUUAAUUUUAGCUCUUGCAUAAAGAGUUUCAAAUACUGAAGAAUCUUGAGAUAUUUUUGUAUUAGAAAAUUAAUGGGAUGGAUGUUUUCUCCGUCUUAAUGAGGUUAUUUCUUGGUAUCUUCAAGCUCAUAUUACCAUUCUAUCAUGAGUAUGAGUAUUGGUCUAUCUCUUGGGUACGUCAUUUCCCAUGCUAUCCAAUUAUGGAAAAAUUCAAAGUCUAUAAGAAAAAGGUAAAUGACCUUGGCUAUAAUGGUUCACAUGGACUAAAGUAUUUGUGAAAAGUAUGGUGAAAAUGACAUUGACUUCAUUUGAACUGCAGAACAUCCUUAAAAUGAUAAUUCAAACUCACUUAUUUAUUGAACAUUCCAUUAAGGUGUCAAGAAUGUUCGAACACAGCAUAUGGAUAUAACAACUUUUUUGUCUGUAUCACAAAAGUGUGAUAGGUUUGUAACUUUUACAAAAGAACUUUUUAAAGAAGUGAUUAUUUUCAUUUAUUAUCAUAGGCGCCACUUUUGAACUAACUUGGUUGUAUCAGAAAGGGGGGUGAUGGUAAUGUCAUAAGGUCAUUAAGAGGUUGCAUCUUGUCAAUAAUUCAUAGAUCCUUUGGAUAAAUCAGAACUAACCUGAAAAGGACUUGGAGGGGGGGGGGGCAAGAUAGUCCCUCUUGAUAUUUUACCAGAAUGCACAAGGUUACAGUCAGCAAAUAUAACUUUUUUUUCUAUAUUGAGGUCUCCUGCAAUUUUAAGACCAAAUUUGUGACAUAAUGGGUAUAGCUUUGCAUUACCUUGUGACUAAGGCAAAUAUAUAUGCAGAAAAUGGCAGGGGGGAUGUACAAAAUCACUGGAAGAUGAUAUUGUUGAUAAUGUGAUUUUCAUUCUAAUUUGUCUGCUUGAUUUAUUAAGGAUUAAAUAUACUUUUUGAAUAUGUGUAAUGAUUUCCACUGGAAAAGCAAUGAAAAACAAAAGAUAGAAAACUACAAAAUCAGGAAAAACUAUAAAUACACAGAAAUGUUAAAGAUGAUUUUGGUAUAGCCACAUUUUUUGUUGGAAAAUCUUUCUAUAAGAUGUG